AUAGUUUUCAGAAAACAGUCCUUUUUCCGUGCAUUUAUUUAUUUAUUUUUAGGGCCACACCCGUGGCAUAUGAAAGUUCCCAGGCUAGGGGUUGAAUCAGAGCUAUAGCUGCCGGCAUUCGCCACAGCCACAGCCAUGUGGCAUCCAAGCCUCGUCUGUGACCUACGCAAUAGCUCACGGAAACGAUGGAUCCCCGACCCACUGAUCGAGGCCAGGGAUUGAACCACAUCCUCAUGGAUACUAGUCAGGUUCAUUUCUACUGCACCACAUGGGAACUCCCUCCAUGCACUUAUUAUGAGAAAGUUUCCAUAGGAAAAAAGUGUAUCUUUACUGUUUAUCUCCAUUCUUCCAAUACAGAAAUAGCAAAGAAACAUAUAUUUAUUAGUCAACUACUGUAGUGGGGUUUUUUUGGGGUUUUUUGUGGGGUUUUUUUGGCCACACCCGUGGCAUGUGAAAAUUCCAAAGCCAGGGAUUAAACUCGCACCACAGCAGUGAUAAGGCUGGAUUCUUAACUCACCGAGCAGGGAGCAGGGAACUCCCAUCAACUACUAUAUUUCUAAGAAUAUGGGAAAUGAGACUCAGUCCAGCCAAGGAGAUGGAAUAUAAGAUGAUAAAUAGGCAAGAUGGGAAUUGAGAGAAAAGAGAUGUUUCUGGAUUUGAUUAAGAGAACGGAUAUGGCAGCAAAGGUGUGUGCAGACCUGGCCAAGAGGCUAAGAGGCCAAGGAUGGCAGCAGGAGGAAUAGGAAAUGAGAGCCAGAUGGAGAACCAUCUAAGGUACACCGGACACACCUAGAUCUCAGAUGUUUACUAUCUAGAAUCAUUCUGAAAUGCUUGUUACACUCCUCUUAUACUAAAGCUGUCCACUGUUUUAAAUCCAGGACCCCAGAUGCUUGCCAAAAGAAAGAAAAAACAUGACAUUUUCUACAAGUGAGCCAGGAAAAAAAAUUGGCCACUUUUGUACAUCGAUACUUUUCUAUGUAGGCCUAGAGAAAUAAUUAGCAAUGAAACAUAGAAGGUCUCGUAAGAUGUUUUUGUUUCCUUCACAGGGAAAUUUCAGACGUGGUGAACUGAAAAGGGAUAAAUUGAGAAAAUGAAUUGUGCCCUGUCAUUGAUAAUUAUUGAUUUCAUAUUACAGGCUUGACAUUCUAGGGUUUUUCCUAGUUUGUAUCUUGUAGCCUUUUUUAAUUUUUAAAAUAUUUAUUUAUUUAUUUAUUUGUCUUUUGUCUUUUUAGGGCCAUACUCAUGGCAUAUGGAGGUUCCCAGGCCAGGGUCAAAUCGGAGCUACAACUGCCAGCCUACACCACAGCCACAGUAAUGUGGGAUCUGAGCCACAUCUGUGACCUACACCACAGCUCAUGGCAACGCUGGAUCCUUAACCCACUGAGCAAGGCUAGGAAUUGAACCUGCAUGCUCAUGGAUACUAGUCAGGUUCGUUAACUGCUGAGCCACGACGGGAACUCCUUGUAGCCAUUAAAAAAAUAUAUAUAUAUAUCUCAGCGUAUAUUUAAUUCACAAUAUUGUGCCAAUUUCUUUGAUGUAUAUGGGUCUAUUUCUUUUUUGUGGAUAAGUUCAGUUGUGUCAUUUUUUUUUUAGAUACCACAUGUAAGCAAUAUCAUAUGACAUGUUUUUCUCUAUGUGGUUUACUUCUUUUUGUAUUAUAAUCUCCAGUUCGAUCCUUGUUGCUACAAAUUGCACCCAGUCAUACAUAUAUAUACAUUCCCCUUCUUCUAUUAUCCUCCAUCAUGGUCUAUCCCAAAAGACUAGAUAUAGUUCCCUGUGCUGUGCAGUAGGAUCUCAUUGCUUCUCCACUCUAAAAGUAAUACCUUAGCAUCUACUAACCCCAAACUCCCUGUGUCCAUCCACCGUGUCUUGUAAUCUUUCCAUUGACAGCACAGCAUUUUCCUGUGUUGCAGGUAAGGCUGUUUGGGCUGCUGCCUGCCCAUGGUCUCUCACAGCUACCAACUCAGGUCUUCAAAACCAGGGUUUUCCUUGCUUACAUACUAUUGUCUUUAUAUUGUUUCUCUCAUAUCUGCCUACUUCCGAGAAUCACUGGAAUUUUAUGACAUUUUAGGAGACGUGUACAUUGAAGAUGUCAGAUCACCAGUGAACAUCAGCUACAGGCCAGUCACUUUAAAUACAUAAUGCCAAAUCCUCAUGGCCACGCUGCAGAAAUAGAUAUUCUCAUCCUCAUUGUUCAAAGGUAACAAUCAAAGCCCAAAGAGGUUAAGUAAAUUUCUUUUGGGGCAGGGCUAGACUUUGGUAGAACCAGCAUUGGAACUCAGGAUGCUUUGACUCUGAAAUCCAAUUGUUUCUUUCUUUCUUUUUUUUUUUUUUUUUUUUUUUUUGCUUUUUAGCGCCACACCCACAGCACAUGGAGGUUUCCAGGCUAGGGGUCCAAUCAGAGCUACAGCUGCGGGCCUGCACCACAGUCACAGACGUGGCUCGGAUCUGGCAUUGCUGUGGCUGUGGCGUAGGCGGGCAGCUGAAGCUCUAGCCUGGGAACUUGCAUAUGCCAUAGGUGCCACCCUAAAAAGAAAGAAACAAACAAAAAAGUAGGGGCGCAUCCACUGUGGUAGAACGGGAUCGGCAGAGUCUUGAGAGCCGCUGGAUGGGGGUUCGAUCCCCAGCCUGGCACAGUGGGUUAAGGAUCUGGCAUUGCCACAACUGUGUCUUAGCUCAUCACUGUGACUUGGAUCUGAUCCCUAGCCUGGGAGCUCCAUAUGCCGCGGGGCAAUCAAAAAUGGAAAAAAAUAAAUAAAGCAGGCUCUCAGUUUCCUUCUAGCAUCCGGUCCUCUGGCUAGAUGUGGCAUGAAAUGAAAUGGCCACACUUUAUUCCCCUAAGGAAGGACAGAGCAGUCGCAGAAGUGAGAUGCUGGUUGUAAUUGGUGAGAGAUGGAUUGAUACACCUCCUGGCCCACCCUCACCUCCUGUACCCACCCAUCCUCUGGCUUCUUGGGCAACUCAUGACCUCCAUUCUCAAGGAGCUCCAUUGUGGUCCUGGGCCAGGAGGAAACCCCUGAGCUACAGCAGAGAUGGUGAGUGGCUGGUGACCCCCAAGAAGAGGCCAUUUGGUCUAGGCUGGUGUGAGGCUCUGACUAGAAAGCCCCUUCCCCCUGCGGACCCCUAGGGAAACCUCGAGCUGCUGUGGCAGGUUGGCAUUUGGGCCUCCGUCAUCAGGAAUUCUUUGCGCUGGCACAAGCCCUAGGAAGAGCGACCAGCAGGUUGUCCUUGCGGCUGCUAUAGGCUCUGAGAAUCAGCGUGGCCUGGUGUUCUCCAUUCUGGCCUGUGAUUCGGUUGGGAGAUGAGAGGCAGUAGCGAGAGCAGAGAGUAGAAAGACCCGUCCUGCGUGACUGGGUUUUAGGCCUUGCAGCCUGCAUGACCUUGGGCACAUCCUUUGACCCCUGUGAAUUUCAGCUUUGUCUCUUCAUCAGUCAAACACGGAUAAUCCAGGGUAGAAUGCUCCCAAGUAUAUAGCCUGGGGUAGAGCUUUCUCUUUUCUGGUCUAUAGGAGGUAAAAAUUUAGAAGUCUCAUUUUUAUAGCUUGCCUUCUCAACCAGUUCUGACAGAACUACAACUGAGUUUCCUUCCUGCAUGCUGCAUGCUUGCUAUCAAGCUGAGGGCUCUACACGUGAACACCAGUUCCCACUUAUGGCCUUAGGUUGUAGCGAGGAGGCAGGAAGGAGCUCAUGUGUCAGAGGCACUGUGCUCCUUGUAAAGCCCCCUCAGACCAGGGAACUCACUGAGGGAAGGUGCUGGUCUCUGGAAGCUUGUGCUGUCGGGGAGCAGCCAAAGGGAGCCGUUUAUAGGAACUGAAAGAAUUCUUUCCUCUCAUCGCUCUUGGUGAGGGCCGCGACUGCCUCCUGGGGUCACACCCAUCCCUCUAAGCCUUCGGCCGUCCUCUUAGGAUCGAGGGUGUAACUCAGCCACCAUCUGGCUUGGACUUGUCUUCAGGCCCGAGGCUGGGCCAAGAACAGGGCCUCGCCGUGGCUUCCACCCUUCUUUCUUUUCUCCUCCCUCUCUUUGGCCUCCACUUCAUCUCCAACAAGUGAGUUGUGUUGCUUAGCUUUUUAAUGAGGUUUUUCCAGCCUCUUGUUGUUUUGUCCUUGACCAUAAAGAACUCCCAGUGACUCCAAGCCGAAAAUAAAAUUUGGCCAGAACUAAGCUGAGAAUAUAGUCUCAUUAUUGGUGUUGAUAUUUUUAAGUCUCUCUUAAAAUCCAAAAAAGAAAAAUGAAAAAACAAGCUCUGGGAGAAAGGCAGGAUUUGUCCUAGAAUGAAUAUCUGUGUGAGCAUUCUAGAGUGAGGACUUUACAUCUUUUCCUGAAAACAAGGCGCCUUCCUUCUUUUCAGGGAGGGCCGUGGCUAUUUUGAUGCCUUUUGAAAGCACCACAAUUAAUUUGAUUGAACUGCUAAGCAGUUGGUUUAAAAAAAAAAAAAAGAAAGAAAGGAAAAUAGUCACAUGGAUUUAGCAUCACAUGGGGAAAUUCGCUGUAACCCAGCAAUCCUUUAGACAGCUGAGGACCACGGGCCAGAUUGUUCAUUUCACAAAAGGGAGUCUUUUAAAGAUGAGAAGACUUUUGUCUAGAGCCCAAACUUCCCCAGAGGGCAGGACUCAUUUAUAACCCAUUCUGAUUCUUUUUUUCUCUUAAAUCUCACUGGUUAAAUAUGAAUAUAUGUGGAGCACUCUGCUAGGAGAUGAAAAGAAGAAACGCAGUGAGAAUUGGGCUUCGCCUAAUCCUCAUUCUUCCUUCUAGCCCUGGGUCCCUGUCUCAGCUCAGACUCUGUAGAACGCUGGAUAGACGGAGGUGUGAACUGCCUUGAGUGUCUCUCUUCUGUAAAAUGAAGCCAGAAGACGCAUCCUUCUUACCUUGGAGGACUGGCUUGGAAGAGGAAAUGAGUUGAUAAUGUAAAGAUGUUCUUAAAACUAUAAACUUGAGGGUGUGCGGGGAGGAGAGUCUGGGGAGGGAAUGGUGACCCAUUCCCUCCUCCAUAUGGCAUCUCGGUUAAAAGGUGGGUCUCUGUUUCCUUCGUGGUCCCCACUUCCCUCCGAAGCCUCGGAGACCAUUCAUCACCCCGGCGCAGAAUCCCCAGGAAGCGGGCGGCGUGUAAGCUAUCCGGCAGAAGCAGGCAGCCCCCACUUUGCCCCGGGCCCCCUGGGCCCCGUGUGGGUUUGUUUCAUUGGCUCUUUGUUUCUCCUCUUUCCCAGACGACCUGGUCCCUUCUCAUCUGGUACAUUUCUUCCUGGAGGAGAAUGAUAAACUCCCUGUUGAAGCCUGGGUGGGAGACAGGACUGGGGUUUGUGUCUGGGAGGUGUGUGGGGCCUUUCAUCAGGCUCACCCUCGCUUCCAGCAGGAAUCGUAGCCCCUCUGCAUCUCCGGCCUCCUUCCUCUGAGUUUCCAGGGCGCCCCAUGCAAGCGUCUGCUGGAGCACUUAGCACACGGAGCCGCUGUGCCGCUCUCUACCUGUCAGGAUUCUGCCUUCCCGUGUCUCUGUCCCCGUGCCUGACACACGCGAAGCACCCCGUGAAUGAAUGCUAAGCACUCAAUGAAUGAAUGAAUGAAUGAGAGAUGAAAGGGGCCAUGGACUUCUUACAGCCUCCACCUCCUUCACUGUACACGCUGAUGAAACUGAAGCCCACGGCUCCUAUGUGGAUUGAUCACGCAGAGAAAACUGGAAUUGAGAUUAAAUAUGUAGUUUUAAUAAAUACAUGUAUUUUUCAAAUUAUAAAUGGCAUAUGUUAAUAAUCUCAGUUCUGCUAAUAUCCUGACUCUCGUAUAUCUCUACAUGUCCUAACUCAGAACUGGCUGUGUGUUAAAGAGAAAACGGAGGAGUUCCCUGGUGGCCUAAAGGUUAAGGGUCUGGCAUUGUCACUCCUGUGGCCCAGGUUCGAUCCCUGGCCCCAGAACAUCGGCAUGCCAAAAAAAAUGUUUUUGAAAAGCGAGCUGAAGUAGCUCAGAAAGGAAGGCAGCCCCGAAUAGUCAGGAAACAGCUGGGCGUGGAGUCGGCAGCCUGGCUUCCAGGCCUGCUGGUGACGGGUUGAAUGACCUUGGCUAAGUCAUUUCCUCUCCCUCAUCUCACUGAUGUUUAUAAAAUCAGGAUGUCGACCAGAUGAUUUCUAAAAUCUCUCCAUGUUCAGAAGUCUACUGUUUUAAGAAUGGCAUGAGUUUGUAAAAGGUUGAACUUCUUGAGGAGAAAUAAGAAGACAUUUAAAAAAUAAGUUAGAGAGUUCCCAUUGUGGCGCAGUGGUAAACGAAUCCGACUAGGAACCAUGAGGUUGUGGGUUCGGUCCCUGCCCUUGCUCAGUGGGUUAACGAUCCGGCGUUGCCGUGAGCUGUGGUGUAGGUACAGACGCGGCUCGUAUCCCGCGUUGCUGGGGCUCUGGUAUAGGCCGGUGGCUGCAGCUCCAAUUCAACGCCUAGCCUGGGAACCUCCAUAUGCCGCGGGAGCGGCCCAAGAAAUAGCAAAAAAUAAAAAAA
rnacentral:lncRNA from 1 species